UACGUAGGCAGCAAGCGUUGUUCGGAGUUACUGGGCGUAAAGCGCACGUAGGCGGCUUUGUAAGUUAGAGGUGAAAGCCCAGGGCUCAACCCUGGAAUUGCCUUUAAGACUGCAUCGCUUGAACAUCGGAGAGGUAAGUGGAAUUCCGAGUGUAGAGGUGAAAUUCGUAGAUAUUCGGAAGAACACCAGUGGCGAAGGCGACUUACUGGACGAUUGUUGACGCUGAGGUGCGAAAGCGUGGGGAGCAAACAGG
rnacentral:rRNA from 1 species